AAAGAAGGCCAAGUCAGGGAGACGCCAUGUAGCCGCCACAGCAGACAGACGCCUCCACUGGACUAAGACUUUGCUGUGCAAGGCAAGCUGUUUCUAAAACUGUCAACAGGGAGGAAAAAAGGAGGGAGAAGUCUGAACUAAAUGACCAGAAAGGAAGGAGGCUCACGAUGCCCACCCCAGCUAAGAAGAUGUUGGCAGUUAAUGGUUGCCGGGGGAGAGGGUGUGGCCAUUGGUUUAAAACACAAAAUGAGCAACAGAAAAAAAAAGUGUAAGAGCGACCGAGGCCAUCGACAUAGAGCUGGCCAAACAGACUGAAGCCUCGCCAUAGGG